CUAUUAAGUCUAGUUUUAUUACAUCAAAGUUCAGCUUGUUUCCUUCACUAAUCGUUGUGCAAUACACACGGAAAGUUCGAAUGUCCAAAUGAGAUGUCUGUGUUAAAUCGACGACAGCCGCUCGCUUCAACGCCUCGCAAUUAUGGAGCUGGCAACGACCGCCAGAUAUUUUGGACGAUAGCGACUCGCAUCAGCAUUUUAAUGAUAUUUUUUACAUCAUUCUUAGUCGUCCUAUUCUUCAUCGCCCACGGAGCUUUGAUGGAGGUUGUGGAGUCUAGCCGGCAAAAACGCUACAACCGUCCCAUGGGUGUUGCAAAUAGAAUUCCUAGCUAAUGUAGAAAGCCUGUUAGAAGUUGCAACAUAUUGUCAAUUAUCACUUAAUCAGCAGCCAGCCUAACGGUUCGUAAACGGCAGCCGUCCCGCAAACGAAGCUCUCCGGUAGAGGAAACAAACAAGGCCUCCGGUAUUUCCUGGCUGCCUGAAAUACGUAUACACUACAUAUGCGGCGGUAUAUUCUAAAUUACACCAAAGUGUAACCAUUUGCGUGUCACGAGUUAAUGGAGCGUCAACAUAAGUCUUCGACAAGAGUGUUGGCAGCGUUCUUAUAAGGAGUGGUGUCAUGGGUACGCUCUAACUAAUGAUCUUUCAUUAUUUUUGAAAAAUAAAAUUUAACCUGA